rnacentral:rRNA from 1 species
ACGGGUGAGUAACACGUGAGUAACCUGCCCUUGACUCUGGGAUAAGCCUGGGAAGCUGGGUCUAAUACCGGAUAUGACUCCUCAUCGCAUGGUGGGGGGUGGAAAGCUUUUGUGGUUUUGGAUGGACUCGCGGCCUAUCAGCUUGUUGGUGGGGUAAUGGCCUACCAAGGCGACGACGGGUAGCCGGCCUGAGAGGGUGACCGGCCACACUGGGACUGAGACACGGCCCAGACUCCUACGGGAGGCAGCAGUGGGGAAUAUUGCACAAUGGGCGCAAGCCUGAUGCAGCGACGCCGCGUGAGGGAUGACGGCCUUCGGGUUGUAAACCUCUUUCAGUAGGGAAGAAGCGUAAGUGACGGUACCUGCAGAAGAAGCGCCGGCUAACUACGUGCCAGCAGCCGCGGUAAUACGUAGGGCGCAAGCGUUAUCCGGAAUUAUUGGGCGUAAAGAGCUCGUAGGCGGUUUGUCGCGUCUGCUGUGAAAGACCGGGGCUCAACUCCGGUUCUGCAGUGGGUACGGGCAGACUAGAGUGCAGUAGGGGAGACUGGAAUUCCUGGUGUAGCGGUGAAAUGCGCAGA